rnacentral:rRNA from 1 species
ACAUGUUUACAACAUAGAGUUAAUACACAGAGUGCCAUUAGAACUUCGCAGUUAAGUACGCUCGGGAUAGAGUAGUACUGGGAUGGGUGAUUUUCCGGGAAGUCUUACUAUUUUACAUGCC